rnacentral:rRNA from 1 species
GACGAACGCUGGCGGCGUGCUUAACACAUGCAAGUCGAACGGAAAGGCCCUGCUUUUGUGGGGUGCUCGAGUGGCGAACGGGUGCGUAACACGAGAGUAACCUGCCCUUGACUUUGGGAUAACUUCAGGAAACUGGGGCUAAUAUCGGAUAGGAGCCCCUGCUGCAUGGUGGGGGUUGGAAAGUCUCGGCGGUCGGGGAUGGACUCGCGGCUUAUCAGCUUGUUGGUGGGGUAGUGGCUUACCAAGGCUUUGACGGGUCGCCGGCCUGAGAGGGUGACCGGCCACAUUGGGACUGAGAUACGGCCCAGACUCCUACGGGAGGCAGCAGUGGGGAAUAUUGCACAAUGGGCGGAAGCCUGAUGCAGCAACGCCGCGUGCGGGAUGACGGCCUGCGGGUUGUAAACCGCUUUCGCCUGUGACGAAGCGUGAGUGACGGUAAUGAGUAAAGAAGCACCGGCUAACUACGUG